AUACGGAGGAUCCGAGCGUUAUCCGGAUUUAUUGGGUUUAAAGGGUGCGCAGGCGGGAGCUUAAGUCGGCGGUGAAAUUUUGCAGCUCAACUUGAAAAGUGCCUUUGAAACUGGUUUUCUUGAGUGUAGCUGAAGUAGGCGGAAUUUGUGGUGUAGAGGUGAAAUGCAUAGAUAUCACGAGGAACUCCGAUUGCGCAGGCAGCUUACUAAACUACUACUGACGCUCAGGCACGAAGGCGUGGGGAUCAAACAGGAUUAGAUACCCUGGUAGUCCACGCAGUAAACGAUGAUUACUAGCUGUUUGCGAUACAAUGUAAGCGGCUGAGCGAAAGCGUUAAGUAAUCCACCUGGGGAGUACGUUCGCAAGAAUGAAACUCAAAUGAAUUGACGGGG
rnacentral:rRNA from 1 species